CUCUCUCUCUCGGAUGAUUCCAAUAUAACUCGAAUGUUGAAGACUCUUCUUAUCCUUUUCUUGAGCCAAUAGCAUCUCUUUUUCUUACAGCCACAGGUUGCUGAUUCAACACUCAUCAAGCUUCUAACCCCCCUUACAAGCUUGAAUUCUCGGCAUGGGAUGGUUUUCAAAAAGCCAAAGAGUUAAAGAUUUAUAAUUUCUCGAUCAAGUAAUUGAAUUAUUCUUUUUACCAAAAAAAAUAUUUACUAUCCGUCAGUCUUUAAAUUUUAUUUGUGUGACAGCCCCAGUCUUAAUACACAACUUCUGUACCAUAAUCUUCACUCAUCAAUCGAGAACUGUAAAAGGCUUGGUAUGCGUUUUAUGGUGUCGACAUGAAUUUGUUGUUAAUAUGAUAUAUUAGAUAUUAGAUAUUUCGAAGUUUCUCAACCUGCGUUGUCGGGUUUGGGAAGCCCGCACGAGCGAGUUCUGCGAAGUAAGCAGCGUCAACGCUCGGCCAGCCUAUCACCCAUCCAAAUAUUCGUGCGCACACUAGGUGUAACAGCGCGGCGGGCAGCUCUCACCGCCCGCUUUGUUUUCCUUACUCAUUAGUUUAAGGCGAGUUUGUAUUGUACCGGCGCGUCUCCUUUUAAUGACCAGACGCUCCUUGCACAUGGCUCAUCUGCCGAUGUGGGACUAAUCGUUCGGGCUUUAGACCCAAAUCCUGAGACGGGGAUUUUGGCCGGAAAUGGUGGAGUACUAAUGCUACCCCGCGCUUCCCCUCAAACGACACGUUGUCGUUCGCACAUCUCUCAUCUGCCGAUGUGGGACUAAACCUUCUGAGCCUCGAUGCCCCCAUCCCGAAACCCUAGCUCUCCGAUCCUCCGGCUAAAUCCCUUUACCCAUGUCUGUGGCAGUAGUAGUAAUCUGAAGGAAAUUUUCUUCCGGUGGUCCAUUGGUUUGUCUGCGCUUUGCAUUGCGUGCUGCAGAUUUACAUUUGGGUGUCGUUCUGUUCUGGGAUACUUGUAACUCCUUUUCCUCCACACGGUAUUGCGCACAUAGUUAAUCAACGGGCUGAAACUUUGAUUGCACAGGGUGAAGAAGGUGGGAUCAAAAGGAUUUUGAGCAGCAUUCUAUGCCACUUAGUAUUUGACAUCUUUGAGUUGUUCUACCUCAACUUGAAUGCAAACUGAAACAUCAGGUAAAAAAUGGUGGCAACAGGAUACGCUUACUAAUCAUUGAUUCUACAUCAUAUUUCAUAACACCUAUCCUUGGAGGCAAAAAUUCACAAGGUAUGCACCUCCUAUACUUGGCAUGGUUGCCUCCAAAAUGGAUCAGAUCUAUCUUUAUGGUGCAGAUUUAUAUCCUCUAUAUGGAAAUUCGCACUUUGCAUCAAUGUCGAUGUGUAAUUUUCUUAAUUAAAACCUGUGUGCUGCCUCAAACACAAUCUAGUUAGAAGAAGAUGGUGGAUGGCAUUGUGGUCUAAUUAGGAAGCAAGUUUAGUUUGCCUUUUUUUUUUUUUGUUCACAUGCCUCAUGAUUAAUUUGACAUAAUUCUAUUGUUUCCAACUCCUUGCUCGAGUAGCUUAAUAUGAGAUCCACAAAAAAGCAGGUACAUGAAGGAAUAAUUUGAUUUUUACCGUAGGGUGGAUCAGUUUAGGCUUGUCGAAAAUGAAGUAGUAGAUUUAUGCCAUGAAGAACCUUAUAAAUAACUUGCCCAGGGAACAUGCUGGAAAAGGGCUGCAAUGAUUUGUAAAAAAUACCAAACAUGAAAUGACAAAUCAAAAUUGAUGAUUUUUUUUUUAAUUUUCAUUGAAUGGUCCCAACUUAAUUUGGUUCUCAUUGCUUUAACUCGGCACAUUGGCUCAGGCUUUGUUGUCUUUGGUUUGCAUCAGUUCAUGUCAAUUUCAGUCAGUUGAAGUGAAUACCUAGUUCUGCUUAGAUUUGUACACGCAUCACAUUCCAAUUUCUCAUCUAACAAUAUGUGUCCUCUGAUGCUGCUCCAGAAACAAACUGGAAGUAUAUCUUUGAUGUUUCCGAGUGUCCCAGUACGAAUAUCCUAUAUUACCAGUUAUGAUAACUGUGUAUGCAUGUAAAUGAUUUAUGCUAGAUACAUAAGUUGCAUUGUCAUGAGUUCCUUUGACCUAAUUUUGAUCAAAAUGCAGGACUACUGUUGAUGAUUUCAACUGGAAUUCUGCUGAAGAAAAUAGCAAAUGAAUACAACCUGACAGUAACAUUGCAUAUUUUGUGCUUGGCUGCAUGAUUCCUGUUUCAUUUUUCUGUGAUGAAGUGCAUGCCUUUUUUUCCCCUAGUUUAUUUUGUUGCUACUGUUCUUAGAAAACUACCUAGUUUUAAUCUUGAAUGGAUAUAAACGACUAUUUCUUGUGUAGGACAUGUUCGUGAUCUGAGCUCCAGUUGUGUGUGGCACGACGAGUAGUCUGGAUCAAGCCUUAUGUAACUUGCUCCUAUCUGGUAAUAUCUCAAGCUUGAAAUGCGAAUAGAACACUAGAUGCAUGAUCCAUGAUUCGUUAUCUGUUCUUAUUAGGCAAAGCUUAUUAUCAUCAUAUUUUCACUACUUUCCAUACAAAUUUUCUUAAAAAUUUUGACCCAUGUCAUAUCAUCAAAAACAUUGAUCAGAUAGCCUUGUAGGUGAAAUGUCUAUAUUUUUAUAUAGAGAUGUUAAAAGUAUAUUUUGAUUGUCCGAUGUGCAAGCAUUGAUGUUUUGUUACAAAAUUAUAUCGAGUGCAUGCUCAACAAAAACCCUACAAUACGGAGGUCAGGAAAUGAGUUUGGAGGAUUCAUAAGAUUGAGUAGAAUGCAUCCCGAUCUCUUGUAGUGAAGUAACAUUUGACGAUGUACGAUCCGUGGAAGGUGGAUUGGAAUCUCGGAUGUUACGAGUAGUAUAGUUAUGAGCUUUAUUAAUCAAGUGGAUGCUUUGAUAGACAUGGCAUGGCUGAUAAGUUUGCCUUCAAGAACAGCCCAAAUUGACUGAUCAGAUAUAGGGUUUCCUUGAUCCACAAGCGACACUGCUCUAAGAAGCGUGGUGACGGCUUUCCUGCUACGCCCACACCUUUUCCUUUACUGGUACGGUACUAUCAGUGGGACGGUCCCAAACUGGCUUCAAUAGCAAGGCAGGUAAUGAGCAGCAAUGGUAAGGGUGUCUUGGAGCAGUGUGACUGACUUGUUGGAUAUGCCAAUCAAGUCAAGAAAAAGAAUCCCUAAAUCACCGACCGUCCAUUUGAUAUCUAACGGCCUUCUGAUGCAAAUUCCUGUUGAAGCAGUGCAGUUUGAUGCUUCUGCAUUUGAAAUCUUCAAAUAACCGAUGUUGAAAUGGCUAUUAGCAAAUUGCAUUGAUCUUUCCAUGUCAAGCCGGCAAUAAUAAUUAAUCUCGUGGUGAGCUUUUGGUAAAUUACCAACAGCAGUUAAAUCAAUGUCAAUCUACUCCUGCAAAAGGCAUGACUUGCACACACACACAAACAAGAAGGGAGGGUAUGAUUUCGGCGUUGACUCCCAGACGGUCGGUGUCGAGUCACUUGAGUGGUCUGCUUUAUGUCAAGAAAGCAUCCAGCGGAGGGAUCGCCCCACCCAUUUGUCUUCUGUCAGGCCACUGUACUCGGUGAUGUGAUUUUAUGGAUGAUCAUAGGCUAUAAUAAAUACCAUAUAGUCACAAUUGGCAUCCUUUCGGGUCUCGUACGGGAUCAAAUAAUUUCGUCAUAUUUUCUUUUAUUAGUAAGAUUUGAACACAUGACGUGCAUCAAAAUUCAUAAAUCUUAUCGUUUUAUGAUUUAUUUGUUUCCUUCCAAUUGAAUCGAGAUUUUGAUUCGGUUCGAUUCAAUUGAAUCGAAAUUUUAUGAUGAGAUCUACGAGGGAUGGGGACCGCAGGAAGGAAGUCGCACAUGAACGCACGAUCGUUGGACGUUAACAGCCGCAAAGGAUUUCAAUUAUUGGUGCCCUCAUAAGAGUCGUCUUCGUCCUCCGCUGCCUCCAUCACAUCACGCGGAGUCGGCGUGUUGGCUUUGCCCCUCUUGCAGGAGCCUAAGGUUGAGCGAGGAGGCACAGCGAUCUCGUUUUCAUUACACUACCAUCCACAGUUCAGAUCACUGUGUGUUGUGCAAAAACAAAAAUAACAGGGUCUUCGACAAUGAAAUGGUU